UAAAUCUAGUAAGUAAACUAUUUAAUUUUGUUUUGAAAACAAGGUUUAAGAUUAUUUCUUGUAGUUUUAA
rnacentral:tRNA from 1 species